CAUGCACUGGUGGGGUCCCUUGGCCUGGCCUGUGCCCUCUUAUAAUCCAGGACCCCUUGGGGGAUGUUGCACUGCUGGUUUUGGCCCAAUCCCUGCAGGCCAGGCCAAGAGACCCCACCAGUGCAUG
rnacentral:pre_miRNA from 1 species